UACGGAGGAUGCGAGCGUUAUCCGGAUUUAUUGGGUUUAAAGGGUGCGUAGGGGGCUUUUUAAGUCAGCGGUGAAAUUUUGCAGCUUAACUGUAACAGUGCCGUUGAUACUGGGGAGCUAGGAUUUGGUUGCUGUGGGUGGAAUGUGUGGUGUAAGCGGUGAAAUGCUUAGAGAUCACACAGAAUAUCGAUUGCGAAGGCAGCUCACAAAGCCAAGAUUGACGCUGAGGCACGAAAGUGUGGGGAUCAAACAGGAUUAGA
rnacentral:rRNA from 1 species